CAUCCUAGUCAGUGUGAAGUGGUAUCUCAUUGUGGUUUUGAUUUGCAUUUCCCUCCUGACUAAUGAUGUUGAGCAUGUUUCCAUACGAUUGUCAGCCAUUUGCAUACCUUCUUUGGAGAAAGGUCUGUUCAAGUCUUUUGCCCAUUUUUAGUGGGGUUUCUCGUCCUUUUGUUGUUGGUUUUUAGAAAGUUUAUGUGUUGUAACUACUGGAUUUCUGAGAAAUAUUGCAUCUAAAAAUAGGAUUUCACUGGUAAAUGAAGGUUGGGCCUCUUCAUCUCACAUACGGAGAAACAGAGGCCAGAGAGGUUGAGGCUGCACAGCAGCAAACAGAAGCAGCCUGACAGACUGCCUCACCUCCUCUGACCUCACCCAGCACCUGGAGUGGCAUCAACCAGGUACAGGCUCUGUGAGGUGACAAGACCUCAUGUCAACAAGUCCUGGUUCCUGCUGUGCUCUGUGGAUUUCAGCCUGGGAGGGAGACAGUGUGGGUGGAAGGCAUUCCAGGCCAGAAGAACAGUGUGUGCAAAGACAAAUCGUGUCCUUCGAGACUUGCCUCAAGAGCCAUUUCCUGUGGGGAAAUGAGGCUGGGAGGGCUUGGAUGUUUGGGGGCAUGGUGAGGAGCCCCCCCCGUAGUAGAGGGAGAGAGAAAGUGGUGGCAAAUGAGGCUAGAUUCUCAAGGAUUUGAAUGCCAGUAAGUUGGGAUUUUCAGCUUAGAGACCCCAAGUCACACAUUCAAAUGCCUUCCUUGGACCACCGGUAUUAUACAUGUGGAGAACAGUGGGUGUUAAACAAUAGGGAGUGGAGGGGGCUUGUGGCUAACCAGAGAGUUGCCAGCCCUGCCUAGAGGGAGAACGAAAGCCUGCUGGUUUGUGACCCCUACUACAAAAAGUGGGGGCCCAUGACGAUAGUUAAGCCAAGGACGGUGGUGAUCAUGUGUCUUCCAAGGUUCUGUCAUUUCCACAGCUCCAGCAAAUUCCUCCUCCAUGGUGGGAUUAGACCCAAAGUAACAAUGCUGCUCGCUGCUUCCUCUGCCCAUUGGGCCGUCGAACUGUAGGGAAUUUAUCAGAUGCUCAGUUUGGGGCAGACUGAGAUCUCAGCGGAUGUCUCAAUAGGCAAAGUCAGCCUCCAUCUUCACGUCACCCCCUCCUCCUCAGCUUUCUCCCUCCUGCCACCUGGCGUGGUCUAAAGUGCGCUGGAUUGGAACCCGGCUCGGCCGCUUCCAGCAUGGCAGACCUUGGGAAAGGAACUCAGCUUCUCCGCAGCACCACUUUUCUCACCUGGAAAAGAGGAGCCACCAUUGUCCCCGUCCCCUUCACAGGGCUGCGUAAGGAGUAAAGGGAUAACGAAAGCUCGGCUCCAGGCCCCCAGCAGACUCUCCAGAGACGGGGCGCCACUUCUGCUUUCCCAGCUCUAGGGCCCUGCCCUCCGCCCAAGGCUCUCUUUCGCAGCACGCCACACCUCGCUGGCUGCGGCCCCUUUAAGACGGCCUUGGAUGACCCAGUUUCAAAGCCGAGGGCGACCCUCGAGCUGCCACCUCUAUGGGAUUCCGCCGAAAAUGAGCGCUGUGCAGCCCCCGGCGACUGGAGCAGGCGUGCGACCGUGAUCUCCUGCUCCUCGGCGAUGCCACCCUUCCGAUGGACCUCGGUUUGCGGAUCCAGGUGAGUUUACUGGAAGAUUUGUGUGCGUGCUGGAUCACAAUCUGCUCAUUUCUUUUCUGCCUGCUUCUGUAGACCUGAAAAGUAAUUGUUCUGGCUGAGGACCUUCCAUGUUUCUUUGGUUUAACCAUGUAAUUUUUGAACGUUGAGCUGCUCAAGACCCAGUUUUGUAUAAAUAAAAGGGGCGAGACCCCAAGGAGACUUCUCAUAAA